rnacentral:rRNA from 1 species
GUCCUGGCAGUAAACGGUGCACGUUUGGUGUGGGCGGGUUCAGACCCCGUCCGUGCCGGAGCUAACGCGUUAAACGUGCCGCCUGGGAAGUACGGUCGCAAGAUUAAAACUCAAAGAAAUUGACGGGGGCCCGCACAAGCGGUGGAGUAUGUGGCUUAAUUCGAUGCAACGCGAAGAACCUUACCUGGCCUUGACAUGCAUUGUGUCCCCGGUGAAAGCCGGGUAGUUCGGCGCAAGCCGGACGCCUUGCACAGGUGCUGCAUGGCUGUCGU